GGUUACUAUGGUUACUACACAAUAGGAGACGGGACAGGGCGCUGUGCAAAUGGGGAGAAGAAAAAACGAAAGGACAGAGUAGGGAGGUGGUUUGCAGAACCGCUUGACUGAUCACACUGUAGCUAGCUCCCCCGACACUGUGCAGAGUAAAAGAGAGAGGUAGACCGGGAGAGAGAGGUGGAAGGAGAAGAACCGGGGUAGGCCUCGGCCUAGGUUUUAGGGGAAAGGGUUAUACACUCAAAGAAGAACUCCGUUCUAGGCAUGAAUAGAAUGGAUACAAAACUUUGAGACUGCACUAUUAUCUAGGCUGUAAUGGCAUUAUUCAGUUCGAUGCUGUUUGACUACACGUUGGGCUGCAUGCUGUAGCCAUGUGCCCAUCAAUACAAUGAUGGGGAGAAGUUAUAGAACAAAGGGAGAGAAGGUGCGCGUGCUGCCCCUAUGUGUGUAUGUCAACGUACAGUAUAAACCGAGAGAGACGGUUAAAGAAAGGGAGAGUGAAAGGGGACACGCAUCGCUGGAUAUCAUAGGUUGUAGAAGCUCAGAUGGUGGUGAGGUGAUUUUCAGUCCUACAGAGAAAGACAAGGACACCACUUCAUUCACUGCUAUGGCCUGUGGGGAGGGAUGGACAUCAUAAAGGAGUAACGAUGAAAACUCGAACUCACAAAGAAUCGAUGCCAAUGCGCAGUGGGCGGAGGCGGGGGGGAAGCAACGAGGAGAGGAGGGGUAGACGCCCGCAUCCCAGCCCUUCUCGUGCAGAACGAAACGACAGGCAGACGCAAAGAGCUGCUGGCGAGGAAUUGGCUGUCAGUCGCUUCAAUCACAGAUCACAAGGCCAUGAUUCGUCAGAGAGUGAAGGGGAGGAACUUGUGCCUCCACCAAAGAGGCAGAAAGUCCAGGAUUCUUCCUCUGUCACCAACCCACCGACUUCAACUCAUUCAACUGACAGUACUCCCCCCACUAUACCGCCCCCACCCUCGGCUCCCAGACAGUCACGUGACAGUGACAACGAGGAUGGUCAAUCCCAGGGCAGCAGGAGUUCAGUUGUAGGGAGCUUGGCCAAUAGUCUGAGCAGUGGGCGGGACAUCGACCAGGACAAUCGAUCUUCCUCCCCGAGUCUCUCUGCCUCGCCUCCAGCCAGUUUAGACUCUGACUCUGAUGGUCCAGACUCACCAAAGCAAGGAGAGGGGGAACGGGAGAAAAGGAAAGAGGGAGGAGUGGGGAAGACAGGAGGAGAGGAAAGGAGAGCAGCCAGAGAGGGGAGAGGGGAUGAGUCUUGCGGGGAUGGAGAAAGGAAGGAUGGAGGAAUAGAGGACAGCCCUUCUCUGAAGCUGCCAUCCUCCUCCAUCUCUUCCUCUGCUCCUGUUCCCUCUCUCCGCGGAGCAGGGGAUUCAGCCAAUGACAGCAAUAGUGUCAGGAAGUCCUAUUUCUCACAGGACUCCAAGCUGGUGAGCAAGAUGGAGUAUGGACCGGCCAGCGCUGACACUGUGCACAGUGGCAAUCGAAUGAACUCCAAAGCUAAAGCUCAGUGCGUGACCAAGGCAACUGUCGCCGGGGGAGACUAUCCCCACGGCAACCCCAACAUUCCACACCCCCCUCCACCACCCCUUCCUCCUCCACCAGCGCUGAAACCCUUAGAACUAGGGGGGCAGAACCUGCCCUCAGAAGUCAAGGUAGAGAGAGAGAAAAUAGAGAAAGGUGAGAAACUGAUGGACAACAAGACGGCUCCUCCCUCUCUGUUACCCCAAACCAGCCCCUUACCCCCCUCCCAGCCCCCGCCCCACCCCCACCACUAUAGCCCCACUGGCUGGCAGGGAGGCACCGCAACCGGUUGCCAGGGGAGCUGGGGCUACACCCGUUACUCUGGUAACCACCACACUCACCAGCCGCAGCACCAACCCCCAGUGCAGCAGCAGCAACUGCCAUCCGUCUACAACCCCCCUUCCUCCCGUCAUUCGUCCUCCUCCCACCCCCCUUACCUCCCCCACCCCCAUAAGGAGUACCUCCCCAGGUACGCUUCCGGGGGAGGGGAAAGGGAGAGGGGGGUGGCCGGCGAGAGGG
ensembl:lncRNA